AACGAACGCUGGCGGCGUGCCUAACACAUGCAAGUCGUACGUGAAGGUCUUUCGGGAUGAGUAAAGUGGCGCACGGGUGAGUAACACGUAGGUGACCUGCCGUUUAGAGGGGGAUAACCAGAAGAAAUUUUGGCUAAUACCGCAUACGACGUACAAAUCUUAGAGUAGUACUUGAAAGAAUGCCUCUGCAUAUGCAUUCACUAAACGAUGGGCCUGGGGAACAUUAGCUUGUUGGUGGGGUAAUGGCCUACCAAGGCUACGAUGUUUAUCCGGUCUGAGAGGAUGAUCGGACACACUGGAACUGAGACACGGUCCAGACUCCUACGGGAGGCAGCAGUGGGGAAUAUUGCGCAAUGGGGGAAACCCUGACGCAGCAACGCCGCGUGAGUGAGGAAGGACUUCGGUCUGUAAAGCUCUGUUAAUGUGGAAAAAUGGUUAGUGGUCUAAUAGGCCAUUGAUUUGAUGGUACACAUAGAGGAAGCACCGGCUAACUUCGUGCCAGCAGCCGCAGUAA
rnacentral:rRNA from 1 species